rnacentral:tRNA from 1 species
GCCUCAGUAGCUCAGUUGGUAGAGCGCCUGGCUGUUAACCAGAUGGUCACAGGUUCAAGUCCUGUCUGAGGCG